AUCUCACGACACGAGCUGACGACAGCCAUGCACCACCUGUGUUCACGCUCCCGAAGGCACUCCUAUGUUUCCACAGAAUUCGUGACAUGUCAAGCCUUGGUAAGGUUCUUCGCGUUGCAUCGAAUUAAACCACAUACUCCACCGCUUGUGCGGGCCCCCGUCAAUUCCUUUGAGUUUCACAGUUGCCUGCGUACUCCCCAGGCGGGAUACUUAACGCGUUAGCUCCGGCACAGCUCGGGUCGAUACGAGCUACGCCUAGUAUCCAUCGUUUACGGCUAGGACAACUGGGGUAUCUAAUCCCAUUCGCUCCCCUAGCUUUCGUCCCUCAGUGUCAGUCUCGGACUAGCAGAGCGCCUUCGCCACUGGUGUUCUUCCUGAUACCUACGCAUUUCACCGCUACACCAGGAAUUCCCUCUGCCCCGACCAAACUCUAGCUUUGUAGUUUCCACUGCUUUUAUUUGGUUGAGCCAAACUCUUUAACAGCAGACUUACAAUGCCACCUGCGGACCCUUUACGCCCAAUCAUUCCGGAUAACGCUUGCAUCCUCCGUAUUACCGCGGCUGCUGGCACGGAGUUAGCCGAUGCUUAUUCCUCAGGUACCGUCAUUUUUUUCUUCCCUGAGAAAAGAGGUUUACAACCCAAGAGCCUUCCUCCCUCACGCGGUAUUGCUCCGUCAGGCUUUCGCCCAUUGCGGAAAAUUCCCCA
rnacentral:rRNA from 1 species